rnacentral:rRNA from 1 species
UACAGAGGUCUCAAGCGUUGUUCGGAAUCACUGGGCGUAAAGCGCACGUAGGCGGACUGUUAAGUCAGGGGUGAAAUCCUGGGGCUCAACCCCAGAACUGCCUUUGAUACUGGCGGUCUUGAGUGUGGAAGAGGUUGGUGGAACUCCGAGUGUAGAGGUGAAAUUCGUAGAUAUUCGGAAGAACACCAGUGGCGAAGGCGGCCAACUGGUCCACUACUGACGCUGAGGUGCGAAAGCGUGGGGAGCAAACAGG